CGGAGGAUCCAAGCGUUAUCCGGAAUCAUUGGGUUUAAAGGGUCCGUAGGCGGGUUUAUAAGUCAGUGGUGAAAGCCCAUCGCUCAACGAUGGAACGGCCAUUGAUACUGUAGAUCUUGAAUUAUUAGGAAGUAACUAGAAUAUGUAGUGUAGCGGUGAAACGCUUAGAGAUUACAUGGAAUACCAAUUGCGAAGGCAGGUUACUACUAAUGGAUUGACGCUGAUGGACGAAAGCGUGGGUAGCGAACAGGAUUAGAUACCCUGGUAGUCCACGCCGUAAACGAUGGAUACUAGCUGUUCGGAGCAAUCUGAGUGGCUAAGCGAAAGUGAUAAGUAUCCCACCUGGGGAGUACGUUCGCAAGAAUG
rnacentral:rRNA from 1 species